UUGGUGCGGCUAGUGGCAAACGGGUUAGUAACACGUAGAUACAUACCUAUUACACGGGCAUAACCCGGAGAAAUCCGGGCUAAUUCCCGAUAGUCCCUUCGGGGUAAAGGCGCAUUUCGGUGCGCCGGUGAUGGAUUGGUCUGCGGCCUAUCAGCUUGUUGGUGGGGUAACGGCCUACCAAGGCGAUGACGGGUAGGGGACAUGAGAGUGUGAUCCCCAACACUGGGACUGCGACACUGCCCAGACACCUACGGGUGGCUGCAGUCGAGAAUCUUGGUCAAUGGGCGAAAGCCUGAACCAGCGACGCCGCGUGCUUGAUGAAGUCCUUCGGGAUGUAAAGAGCUUUUAUAGGGGAAGAACCUUCGGGUGACGGUACUCUAUGAAUAAGGGGAGGCAAAUCACGUGCCAGAAGCCUCGGUAAUGCGUGAUCCCCAAGCGUUAUCCGAUUUAUUGGGCGUAAAGCGUUCGUAGGCGAUUUGUUAGGUUUUCUGUUAAAUAUCCAGGGCUCAACCUUGGAAGCGCAGAAAAAACCGGCGAAAUAGAGGGCGUUAGAGGUUGAUGGAACGGUCGGUGUAGGGGUGGAAUCCGUUGAUAUCGACCGGAACACCAAAAGCGAAGGCAUUCAACUGGGGCGACCCUGACGCUGAGGAACGAAAGCGUAGGUAGCAAAAAGGAUUAGAUACCCUUGUAGUCUACGCUGUAAACGAUGGAUACUAGCUAUUUGAAGUGUCGACCCUUCAAGUGGCGAAGCUAACGCGUUAAGUAUCCCGCCUGGGAAGUACGGCCGCAAGGCUAAAACUCAAAGGAAUAGACGGGGUUUUACACAAGCGGUGGAUCAUGUGGCUUAAUUCGAUGAUAAGCGAAAAACCUUAUCCAGGGCUUGACAUUCUGUUGAAAUCCCGCGGAAACGCGGGACCCCUCACAAGGCAGCAGAACAGGUGCUGCAUGGUUGUUAUCAGCAUGUGUCUUGAGAUGCACCCUUCAAUGGGGUAACAUGCGCAACCCUCAUCCUGUGUUUUAUAAUGUCACAGGAAACUGCCCGAGAUAAUUGGGAGGAAGGUGGGGAUUAGACCAAAUCCGCAUGGCCUUUAUGCCCUGGGCCGCACACGUGAUACAAUGGGACCGACAAUGGGCGAACCCGCAAGGGGGAGGUAAUCCCUAAACGGUCUCUCAGUCCGGAUUGAGGUCUGCAACUCGACCUCAUGAAGCUGGAAUCGCUAGUAAUCGCCGAUCAGCAUUGCGGCGAUGAAUAUGUUCCUAAAACUUGUACUCACCGCCCGUCAAACCAGCCGAGCUGAGAAUACCCCAAGCUCCGCCUUAGGCGGAUCAAAGGUAGAUUCAGUGAGUAGGGUUAAGUCGUAACAAGGCA
rnacentral:rRNA from 1 species